rnacentral:snRNA from 1 species
UGGCUAUCGCCGACCUGGUGAAGUCAACACUUGGGCCAAAGGGCAUGGACAAGAUCCUGCAGAGCAUGGGGAGAGGCAAUGAGGUGACUGUCACCAACGAUGGUGCCACCAUCCUCAAGGCCAUCUACAUUGACAACCCAGCAGCCAAGGUCCUGGUUGACAUCAGC